UCGUAACAAGGUUUCCGUAGGUGAACCUGCGGAAGGAUCAUUGUCGAUACCUGCAACGCGCAGAGCGACCCGCGAACACGUCCCCGAUGACGCCGAGGCCUCCAGGGGCCAAGGCACCAACGAACGAACCCCGGCGCGCACUGCGCGCCAAGGAAUACGAACGAAGGGUGCCCCCUGGGUUUUCCUGGGGCGGCCGCUUCACGCUAGAACACAACAACGACUCUCGGCAACGGAUAUCUCGGUUCUCGCAUCGAUGAAGAACGUAGCGAAAUGCGAUACUUGGUGUGAAUUGCAGAAUCCCGUGAACCAUCGAGUCUUUGAACGCAAGUUGCGCCCGAAGCCACCAGGCCGAGGGCACGCCUGCCUGGGCGUCUCGCAACGUGUCGCCCCCGCCUCCCCCCUAAUGCGGACGGAGGAAGGGAGCGGAUAGUGGCCCCCCGUGCGCUAGCGCAAGCUGCUGCGGCCGGCCCAAAAGCGGAACAGCCCGAGGCGGAUUGUCGCGGCAAGUGGUGGUCGAGGUAAAUGUCGUCGCGUCCUGCCGCGCGAGCACCCGUCCCGGGAAAAAUCCAGCUGACCCUAAGCGUGCCCCCGCAAGGGCGCGCCUCGAUCGCGACCCCAGGUCAGGCGGGACUACCCGCUGAGUUUAAGCAUA
rnacentral:rRNA from 1 species